rnacentral:misc_RNA from 1 species
AAGUCGUAACAAGGUUUCCGUAGGUGAACCUGCGGAAGGAUCAUUAAUGAAAAUGUGUUGCCGGGGCCCAUAAUCCCGGCACUAACCUUCUUAUCCAUAACACCUGUGCACUGUUGGAUGCUUGCAUCCGCUUUUAUACUAAACAAUUUGUAACAAAUGUAGUCUUAUUAUAAUUAAUAAAA